rnacentral:misc_RNA from 1 species
GAAAUGCGAUAAUUAAUGUGAAUUGCAGAAUUCAGUGAAUCAUCGAGUCUUUGCACGCACAUUGCGCCCCCUGGUAUUCCGGGGGGCAUGCCUGUCCGAGCGUCAUUGCUGCCCUCAAGCACGGCUUGUGUGUUGGGCUUCCGUCCCUGGCAACGGGGACGGGCCCAAAAGGCAGUGGCGGCACCAUGUCUGGUCCUCGAGCGUAUGGGGCUUUGUCACCCGCUCCCGUAGGUCCAGCUGGCAGCUAGCCUCGCAACCAAUCUUUUUAACCAGGUUGACCUCGGAUCAGGUAGGGAUACCCGCUGAACUUAAGC